rnacentral:rRNA from 1 species
CCGUAGUAAUUUUAGAGGUAAUACAUGCAUCCAUACCCAAAUGCUUGUUGGAAGGGUAGCAAAUAUUAGAUUGAAACCAAUAUCAUCAUUUAUGGUGAUUUUUGUGUUGAAUCAUAAUAACUGUGCGGAUCGCAAUUUUGCGAUAAGUCGAUUGAGUUUUUGCCCUAUCAACUUUGGAUGGUAGGAUAUGGGCCCACCAUGGCGUUAACGGGUAACGGGGAAUUAGGGUUUGAUUCCGGAGAGGGAGCCUUAGAAACGGCUACCACAUCCAAGGAAGGCAGCAGGGGCGUAAAUUAGCCAAUCCUGACACAGGGAGGUAGUGACCAUAAAUAACAAUGCUGGGCUUUUUCAAGUUUGGCAAUUGGAAUUAAAAGAAUUUAAAUCCCUUAACGAGGAACAAUUGGAGGGCC